GGCUGGUCUGAGUGCAGUGGUGUUUACAACUAAUUGAUCACAACCAUUUGCAGAUUCCUUUGUUGCUUCUGCGCUCCCACUGCUUCACUUGGCCAGCCUUAA
rnacentral:Y_RNA from 1 species